rnacentral:lncRNA from 1 species
GGACUGCUGCUAAACUCAAGCUUCUUCUCGACCGGGCUGGUCAUCAUCUUCGGACUCUUUCUCUUGUUUGACUGUAAACAUAAGAAACUCGUAAGUUAUAGAAUCAAAGAGAGUCCAUAUAUAGUUGUUUUUUCUUUUUCUUUCACAGUGUUUACUUCUUUCUUUUUGUGUUAACCUUACCUUUGCAGAUGCGCUGUUUCGGUUCCUGUCUGCGGAACAAAGAGGGCUGUGUUGCCUUAACAACUUACGGUUUUCUUUAUCCAGCUUUCGGUUUAGUGUGCUCACAAGUUCCACCUAUUUGAAAGUUUGUGGGUUAAGU